CAACCUCGUAGUGCCGAACAGGAGGUUGGGCCCGCUUUCCCUGGGGAAAGCGGGCCCAACCUCCUGUUCGGCACUGACCGGGGUGG
rnacentral:sRNA from 1 species